UGAGAAGCGGGGAAAAGGAGGAAAAGGAAGAACCUCAUGCAGAACUAAACUACUGCAAACGGCUGGAGAGCACUAUAGCUAGAGUUUGGCAUGAACUCAUCAGUACACUGUGCCACCAAUGUUGCUAGUAUUCGACAUUAUUAUCGCGUCAUUUGAGACAACCUCAAAUACGUUCUGACAGCACACACACUCCACACAAAUGUGAAUCGAUUACGUUUGCUACUUCUACUUCUACUUACGAUGGUGACAUGCUAUCGGGUAGCCUGUCCAAUUCCAAGGCAGCUGGUGGUCUCAAAGCUUCAGAGACACUGUUGCUGAGCUCAAACCUGUGUGGUCUAAUGGCUCCCAGCAGACCUUCCUCAUCCUGCGAUUCAUGCAAUGACGGAACAUUAUCAUCAAUUAUAAACCUCUGGAAGGCUCUUCAGAAGAAUAACUGUCACUGUCGUCACCUCUACCCUAGCAGCGGUGCCUUGGAUAUGAAGAUGUAGUCAUUUUACAGGCCAAUGACUACACAGACACGUCUCCCCUCUGACAUGUACACUACACCAUACCCAUUACUGG